GCGGGUCAUGCCGGGGACGUCUAGCGGAACUGCCAGCGUAAGCUGCGAGGAAGUGGGGAUGACGUCAAAUCAGCACGGCCCUUACGUCCAGGGCUACACACGUGUUACAAUGGCCAGUACAGAGGGCAGCCACCCCGCGAGGGGGCGCUAAUCCUAAAAGCUGGUCCCAGUUCGGAUCGGAGUCUGCAACCCGACUCCGUGAAGCUGGAUUCGCUAGUAAUCGCGCAUCAGCCACGGCGCGGUGAAUACGUUCCCGGGCCUU
rnacentral:rRNA from 1 species